rnacentral:rRNA from 1 species
AUUGAACGCUAGCGGCAUGCUUAACACAUGCAAGUCGAACGGCAGCACGAGGAGCUUGCUCCUUGGUGGCGAGUGGCGGACGGGUGAGUAACGCGUAGGAAUCUACCUUAUAGAGGGGGAUAACCCGGGGAAACUCGGGCUAAUACCGCAUAAUCUCUACGGAGCAAAGUGGGGGAUCUUUAGACCUCACGCUAUUAGAUGAGCCUGCGUCGGAUUAGUUUGUUGGUGGGGUAACGGCCUACCAAGACGACGAUCCGUAGCUGGUCUGAGAGGACGAUCAGCCACACUGGGACUGAGACACGGCCCAGACUCCUACGGGAGGCUG